AGAGAGAGAGAGAGAGAGGUCUACACUGUAACAAAUUUCUGUAGUUUUCACAGCAUUAUUACUGUAAAAUGAACCAAUCCUUACUGUAGAACCUGUAUACAGCAUGUUGCUGUAAAUCUGCAAAGCAUCAUGGUUAAAUUUCAAUGGCAGGUAAAUUCGACAGUAAAUAUAUUUUUUACUGUGAAUCACAAUGAAGAAAUUUUGAGCAGGACAUUUUCAGCAGCUGAAACAGAGGAGAUUCCAUACUUUCUCUAGGACUUGACUUCAGCAAGCUACGGCAUGAUGAAUCAAAUAACGAAGUGGGCUGAAGUGAAAGAAAAUGCAGCAACCAGAAAUGACUCGAGCCCAGAAGGAAGUUUCCCACUCAGGAACAAAGUCGGUAUUAAGGAUUUUGAAGCUUAAAAUUCUACUGUUUUUGAAUUAUAUUUAAUUUCUGUUUUAAUCAUUUCCAAUUGUAUCUGGACAUUUUAAUUCAACUUCAACGAAGAUAAUGGAUUUGUAUGUUUAGGAGUGUUGUAUACAUAAUAAUAAAAAUGUAUAGCCUAUAAAUGUAUAUAAUGUAAAAUAGUU